rnacentral:tRNA from 1 species
GAGGGUAUAGCUCAGUGUCAGGGUGCAUGCUUAAGAUGUACGAGGUCCUGGGUUCAAUCCCCAGCACCUCUA